UGAUACCAACCCUGCUAUCAGUUUCCCCACAUUAAACCCAGCAUAUAUAGGGUUAAAACCAAAACACGCAUUCCCUGCUUACUCUCUGGCUUCCUGGCUCCAAAAUCCACUAUCCUCCAUGGAGACAGACACCGUCAAGGACAAGCACCUGGACUAUCUCCUCCCGCAAAGAGAUAGAGGCUGGUGGGAAAGCUGCUGACCAGCAAGGUCACGGGCUGCCUCCUCUCUGCAAGUGUCUCAAGGCCAAAGACAGGCUGGUGGGAAAGCUCCGACCAGCAAGGCCAUAUGCUCCCCCUCCCCUACCUAAAACCCCAAAUAAAAACCCUUCCUUUUAGCUUUUUGGGGAGUUUGGGAUUUCAGCGUUAGCUGCCCUCUCUCCUUGCUCAGUGCUGUGCAAAAAUAAAACUCUCCUACUUUCUUCCAUCACACCCGGUGUCAGAGAUUGGCUUGCUGCGCAACGGGUGAGCGAACUCACUUCAGGUUCGGUAACAAUUUGGCAACCCAGAUGGGACAAUGUCCCAGGUGGACAUCUCGCCUGUGGCACACCGGCCUCUGGCUAAAGGCCUCUCUUGGAAGCUGUCCUGCAGCUGCCUGAGCCCCUUGUCUCAGGGACAGCCCCAAGUGACUGGCUGCUAGCCAGAGGUCGUUGGCCCACAGCGCUUUUGCUUUGGUGGUGGAAGAAAAUAGGUUUAGGACUUGGGAAGACGUCUCUUGUAAGUAGCUGGUAGUUUUUGUUUUUGUCUUUGUGUUAACCUUUUCCAACAGGACCAGCUGGAAAUAAUGGGUACCUUGGCAGCCCUCUGGGCUCAUUUGUUUUGAAGUUGCUGCAACGCCCCAGCCAAAUUUUGGACACAAUUGGAAACACUGGUUAUAUUACCAAGGCUUUGACUGGAACAUCAUGUUUGAAAAAACAUAUGGGCUUGGAUAUAAUAAAACAGCUUUUGAGGAAUGAAGGUUGACAUUCUGGAAUAAAGCCACUUGGAAAUAUUGGCCUGGUACUGUGUUUAUGGGUUCUGUAACCUGGUAAGGUUGAGCAAAGAAUGUCACUCCCUCUGGCAGGUACAAGGAACCUCAAUAUUUUGGGGAACCUCACGAAGAGAGGGAUUCACCCAAAUCUGUAGUUACUGCAGGCAGAAUCUGAUAACAGGUGCUUUGCUUGGCUUUCCUUGAGAGACCUUUACAGUUCAACCUGAGAUUCCUUAUAAGGUUCCAGCAAAGCAGAUUAAAAAGAGCCUAUAUGAUCAAUUACUAUUCUUGCUGUACUUAUGUAAAUAAUUAUGCCAAAUUUAUUAAAACUAAACACUGUGCAAACCAGUUAGUCUUAAUUUGUCUAUGUCUAGUGAAAUUCAGGGUGAUUUUAGGGAGGAAGAUUAUGUUUCAAUAGAAACUAUAAUACAUGUUUAUAGAUAUUAGAUUUUAGUUUUUUCAAUUGUCUUUGAAAUUUUUGUUUUACUUCUGUUAACUGGACUGGAUCUUGAAUUCUUUGUCUCCUGAAAUAUCUGGCUAAAAAACCCCAAACUAACAUUUUCAGGGUUUUUCCCCAUUAUUUUCAUUUGGAGUCAUUGAAAACUAAAUCUGCCCUUUUUCUUAAAGCCUUACAAACUGAAGCUGGAAGACCUAAUAUAAACUUAAGAGAGAUUCAUGUCUACUGCUGUGUAAGCCACUCAAAAAGCUACCUGAGUGCCGGAUGACACCAUCAAAGACAUUUCAAACUGCAAAAGAUGCUUCAACCCUGACUUCUAAGAUCUUGAUUGGCUACCCCCUGGGCUCAGAAACUGGUUUAUAAUUUGCUCCAAUCAUUAACCUUGUUUUUCUCUUUUUGUUUCUCUAGAAAAACUUCUUAUUAAAUACCUGGUUACUUAGGUACAUGAUACAGGCCUAACUUCAGGAGCCCACCAGCAUUACUGCUUUAUUAAAAGACUGGUUCAAUGAGAUGAAACGACUUACACCCCAUUUCAGCAGGAAGUAGCUAGAUUCGUCGCCGCCCCAAAUCCCUCAAGAUUGAAGGAUGGACAUAAAAUAGGGGGGAGUUGAUACCAACCCUGCUAUCAGUUUCCCCACAUUAAACCCAGCAUAUAUAGGGUUAAAACCAAAACACGCAUUCCCUGCUUACUCUCUGGCUUCCUGGCUCCAAAAUCCACUAUCCUCCAUGGAGACAGACACCGUCAAGGACAAGCACCUGGACUAUCUCCUCCCGCAAAGAGAUAGAGGCUGGUGGGAAAGCUGCUGAUCAGCAAGGUCAUGGGCUGCCUCCUCUCUGCAAGUGUCUCAAGGCCAAAGACAGGCUGGUGGGAAAGCUCUGACCAGCAAGGCCAUAUGCUCCCCCUCCCCUACCUAAAACCCCAAAUAAAAACCCUUCCUUUUAGCUUUUUGGGGAUUUUGGGAUUUCAGCGUUAGCUGCCCUCUCUCCUUGCUCAGUGCUGUGCAAAAAUAAAAUUCCUACUUUCUUCCACCACCCCCGGUGUCAGAGAUUGGCUUGCUGCACAAUGGGUGAGUGAACUCACUUCAGGUUCGGUAACAGAAGUACAGCUCCUAGCUGAACUGUGCUCAGACUCCUGACCCACAGAAACUGUGAGAUAACAAAC
ensembl:lncRNA